GGGGGGGUUAAGGUUAGAACGAACUCUCCUCCUUUACAAACCACCAGCCUACAGGAAUCUGAGGGUCAUUCUUGUGGCUUUACCAGCACAUAUAAUAUGAUCCAGACUUUGGUCUCAGCUGGGAUUUCUUGUUAAAAUUGACGAUGAAACUUAAGAAAGCAUGCCAAAAAAGUCAAGUAUAUCCGAGAGUAAAAGCCCUAGAUGCUCUAGUUUGAAGGAAGCUGAAAGAAUCAGCUUGAAUCAGGACCUUCCACAAUCAAAGAUGAUCGACAGUGCCCAGUACGGACGAGAGUGGGGAGGAGAGAGGGUCUCCUUUCAGAAGGAAAUAGCAGCAACAAAAAUAGGAAGAGUGGUAGUUUGUGCUUGUUGCAUGUUAUUGCUUCUGUUUUCAACAACCCUCUGGAGCAAAAACUAUUAUUUCCCUCGUGAAGAGGAGGAAACUGAGGUUUAGCAAUGUUGUGACCUGCCAGGAGGAGGAGGAUGGAGCAACGAGCUUGUCUGACCUCAGCACGCCCUAACCCUACUAUCCACAGGGAUUGCUUCCAAGUGCAUAGUACGACGAGAGCUUGGUGUGUACAAGUGUUGUCUGGCAAGUUUUCAAGGAAAUCUUUGAUCGUGUCUUAAAGUGCUUUUGCUGGGAGGCACUCGGGGCAGGUAAGCUCUUGUCCAAGUUCAGACAGGGGAGUCCCUAUCCCUUUCUUAAACAUCUCUGUGAAAUUAUUCAGUCCUUUUUAUCAUUUUUGUCAUUCUCUUUGAAUCUCUCUUCAAAGAUGACAUAUUCCUUAAAAUUAUGGCAACAGCUCAAUUCUUCAGAGGCAUCUAUUUGCAAAGAGAUGAAACGCCUUGCUACCAGAGGUGAGAUGAGCGAGUGGCAGUGGGCACAGCUGGCCUUGGCCUUCGGCGUGGCUGCCUGAAAGGUCCGGUUGCUGCUGACCCGCUCCGACAGGGCCCAUGGCCCGCUCUUUCUCCGGCCUCCUUGCAAACAGUUAGGGGGAUCAAGGCUCAUAUAUACAAAAGUUCUGCUUUUUUAACAGAACGCCCAGAAAAAAGUAGGUUUAUA
rnacentral:lncRNA from 12 species